rnacentral:rRNA from 1 species
GACGAACGCUGGCGGCGUGCUUAACACAUGCAAGUCGAACGGUGAAGGGACUGGUUUUGCUGGUCCUGGAUGGGUGGCGAACGGGUGAGUAACACGUGAGUAACCUGCCCCCUUCUUCUGGAUAACCGCAUGAAAGUGUGGCUAAUACGGGAUAUUCUGGGUCUGUCGCAUGGUGGGCCUGGGAAAGAUUGCGCCUUUUUUGGUGUUUUUGGUGGGGGAUGGGCUCGCGGCCUAUCAGCUUGUUGGUGGGGUGAUGGCCUACCAAGGCGGUGACGGGUAGCCGGCCUGAGAGGGUGGACGGUCACACUGGGACGGAGACACGGCCCAGACUUCUACGGGAGGCAGCAGUGGGGAAUAGUGCACAAUGGGCGCAAGCCUGAUGCAGCGACGCCGCGUGAGGGAUGGAGGCCUUCGGGUUGUGAACCUCUUUCGCCAGUGAAGCAGGCCUGCCUCUUUUUGUGGGUGGGUUGACGGUAGCUGGAUAAGAAGCGCCGGCUAACUACGUG